GAUAUUUGCUAAGUAUAUCUUUCUUGGGGAAAAUAAGCUAAGGAGAAGAAGAAAGAGGAGAAGAAAGACGAGAAGAAGAAGGAGAAGAAGAAGAAGAAGAAGAAGAAGAAGAAGGAGCAGGAGGAGGAGAAGAAGAAGCAGAACAAUAUGAUUACAAGAAUAAUAAGAAGAAGAAGGAGAAGGAGAGGAAGAGGAUGAUUACAAUACUUUUCUUAUUUUGACCUUAUUAUGUCAUUUAGG
rnacentral:lncRNA from 1 species